UCUUCCUCCAUAUUGCAGAUUGGACAAGAAGCACUUGACACAACCUGUUUCCUCAAAAGGCUGUUUUUUGUAGGUAAGAUAGCAUUAAGGACUCUCCACAUGAAUUCUUUGAUCUUUCCAGCAACUCCAAGAUUUGACGAACUUUCUGAUACUUCUGGCAUAAACAAAUGGACAUGUAAAUGUUCUUAUACAUAUCAAGGAAAUCAUAGUUAUGCUGUUAAAUCGAACUGUUCCACAUCCUGUAAUUGCAUUCCAGGGAUUUCUUGAUUUACGACUGAACCCUAUAAGGUAGUGAAACGAUGUGAACUGUUCUGUAACUAAAAUACUUGCCAAUAUAGAAGAAACGUAGAGAAAAAGUUACUGGAAAAAAAAAUCGAUGCAGCUCUGACAAAAACUUUUGGUAAUAUGAUUUGUGUUACUUUUACACACCCCUCUUCCUUCUAUUUGCUUCUCU